rnacentral:rRNA from 1 species
GACGAACGCUGGCGGCGUGCUUAACACAUGCAAGUCGAACGGAAAGGCUCUGCUGUUUUCGCGUGAACGACUGACGGGCGAGUGAGUAACAAGCAAGUAACCUGCCCUUGACAUUGACAUAGCUUAAGGUAAGUGAGGAUAGCACCGGAUAGGAGAUAGUACUGCAUGGUGGAGGGAGGAAUGAUUGGGCGUUUGGGUAUGGACUUGCGCGUUCUCUGCUUGUUGGUGGGGUAGUGGCCUACCAAGGCGUCGACGGGUAGCCGACCUGUGAGGGUGAUCGGCCACACUGGAACUGAGACACGGACCAGACUCCUACGGGAGGCAGCAGUAGGGUAUGUUCGGCAAUGGGCGAAAGCAUGACGGAGCAAGGCCGCGUGAGAGAAGAAGGCUUUCGGUUCGUAAUGCCCUGUUGUUAGGGAAGAAUCGAUUUGGACUAAGACGAGGCGUGAGUGACGGUACCGGGUCAAGAAGCACCGGCUAACUACGUG